GGGGGUAUAGCUCAGUUGGGAGAGCGUCUGGUUCGCAAUCAGAAGGUCAGCGGUUCGAUUCCGCUUACCUCCACCA
rnacentral:tRNA from 2 species